AGCAGCCGCGGUAAUUCCAGCUCCAAUAGCGUAUAUUAAAGUUGUUGCAGUUAAAAAGCUCGUAGUUGAAUUUCGGGGUUAGUAGGUUGGUCAUGCCUCUGGUAUGUACUGGUCUCACUGAUUCCUCCUUCCUGAUGAACCUUAAUGCCAUUAAUUUGGUGUUUUGGGGAAUUUGGACUGUUACUUUGAAAAAAUUAGAGUGUUUAAAGCAAGCUAACGCUUGAAUACAUUAGCAUGGAAUAAUGAAAUAGGACGUUCGAUCCUAUUUUGUUGGUUUCUAGGAUUGACGUAAUGAUUAAUAGGGAUAGUUGGGGGCAUUAGUAUUCAAUUGUCAGAGGUGAAAUUCUUGGAUUUAUUGAAGACUAACUACUGCGAAAGCAUUUGCCAAGGAUGUUUUCAUUAAUCAAGAACGAAAGUUAGGGGAUCGAAGACGAUCAGAUACCGUCGUAGUCUUAACCAUAAACUAUGCCGACUAGGGAUCGGAUGAUGUUAAUUUUUAA
rnacentral:misc_RNA from 1 species